rnacentral:rRNA from 1 species
UUUUACCGGAGUACUAUGAAUACUAUAAAUUUAAAACUCAAAGAACUUGAGCGGUGUUUUAGACCACUCAGGGGAACCUGUCUCGUAAUCGACAAUCCACGUUGUACCUGACCUUUCUUUGUUCUCAGUUUGUAUACCGUUGUCGUCAGGUAACUUUUUAGAAUGUAGAAGUUGGCUGGAGAAAUAAAUGAUUUAGUACGUCAAAUCAAGGUGCAGCUAAUAGAAAGGGGAGGAUGGGUUACAAUUAUUUAUUUAUAAUUACGGAUUAUUAUGUUAAAGCGUAAGGAUAAGAAGGAGGACUUGAAAGUAAAUUAAAUUUAUAAAAAUAAAUUUGAAUAAGGCUCUGAAACGUGU